AACGAACGCUGGCGGCAUGCCUAACACAUGCAAGUCGAACGAGACCUUCGGGUCUAGUGGCGCACGGGUGCGUAACGCGUGGGAACCUGCCCUUAGGUUCGGAAUAACUCCCCGAAAGGGGUGCUAAUACCGGAUAAUGUCUUCUGACCAAAGAUUUAUCGCCUUUGGAUGGGCCCGCGUUGGAUUAGCUAGUUGGUAGGGUAAAAGCCUACCAAGGCGACGAUGCGUAGCUGGUAUGAGAGGAAGAUCAGCCACUCUGAGACUGAGACACGGCCCAGAAUCCUACGGGAUGCAGCAGUGGGGAAUAUUGGACAAUGGGCGAAAGCCUGAACCAGCAAUGCCGCGUGAGUGAUGAAGGCAUUAGGGUUGUAAAGCUCUUUUACCCGGGAUGAUAAUGACAGUACCGGGAGAAUAAGCUCCGGCUAACUCCGUG
rnacentral:rRNA from 1 species